AGAAAUACCUACUUGCGCCUUAUUCCUGACACAGACCUGGAUAUGGCCUCCUGGGAAAAUGCUGGCCUAAGCCUUUCUGCAAAAGUCACCUAUGAGACCAAGAAUUUCCACUGUUUCUGUCCAAAGCAUGGGAUUAAUUAAAGAAAUUCUCACUCCUUGUUUUUUGCUUGAGAAAUUAAUUCUUCCUAUGGGAAAUAUUUUUAAUGCCCUAAAACUAUCUGGACUUCAGGAACUUGAGCUUUGUAUCGUAGCUGCCUUCUGCCCCUAAGGAAUAUAAUCUAUCUAAGCCAUUAAAUUGUUGUGAAUACCAAUAAUAGGACAUUUUUAUGGAGUUCAGGAUAUGAAGCAAAAGCUAUUAGACUGCUCUGUGUGUGUGUGUGUGUGUGUGUGUGUGUGUGUUUGCUCACAUUGAAAAACUAGUUAAACAUUUCAGAUCUCUUUAGAUUUAUACAGGGUUAUUUAUUACAAGGUUCCGAAACUUUCUAGAGGCAGCAAUCUUCUGGUGAUCUUUAUCAAGCUGUUCUUUAUCCUCCUACAGGGCUGCUUGUUUUGUUCUUUCUCCCCCACCCCAGCCCCUGCCCCCCCCCUCUCCUUCUCUUGUUCUUUUUUCUUGAAUUUGGCUUUAACAGGGAAAUAAAAUGUCAACUGUAUGUGAAAAAAAUCCAGUGGUAAAAUUUGCAAGUGGGAAUACAAUUUGAAAGCAAUGCCAAAGUUAUGUUAAGCAGCCAGGUUUUUUUUUAAAUUAAAUUUUUAAAAUUUCUCUGCUAAUUAGGCUGCACAUUUGAAAUCUUAAACAUGUGUAGAAUUGUGAGGGAUCUUGUCUGUUGAGAGGGGCUUAAUUCCAGCAGUGCUUGAUAGCUGAGUGUUGAGUUUUCCAAUGGUCACAAUAGACACCAUCAACACUCAUUAUUUUUUGAGUGCCUUUUUCUAAAUGGCAAUGUGGAAGGAAGAAUUAGAGAAAGUUAGAGCUGCCCUGAACUCAGAUAUCAUCUAUCCCAGGGGUUUUUCAUUUUUUUUUUUUAAGCCCAGGAAACAAAAUAAUAUCCAGAAGUCUGAUGUGUAAAGCAGAUAGACUCGAGCCUCUAUGUGUGUUGGGGUGUUUGUGAGUGUGGGUUCAUGAAUGCCUCAUACUUUUCUGUUAGGACAGAGCAUUGUCUGCCGGCAGUGGGUACACAAAAUUCUUAGGAUUAUAGAUUAAGAGUUCAUAAUCUCAGACUACUCUCCAAUUUUAUUGAGUCAGAACCCAAGUCCCAGAAAGUUGAACUGAAUUGUCCAAGGUCACACUGCUGGAAAGAUGUGGAGAAGGCACUUGACUGCAUUUUCUUAAUUCGAUCUUUCUGUCUCUCUUUCU
rnacentral:lncRNA from 1 species